CCUACGGGCGGCAGCAGUGAGGAAUAUUGGUCAAUGGACGAGAGUCUGAACCAGCCAAGUAGCGUGAAGGAUGACUGCCCUAUGGGUUGUAAACUUCUUUUAUAUGGGAAUAAAAUGUUCCACGUGUGGGAGUUUGUAUGUACCAUAUGAAUAAGGAUCGGCUAACUCCGUGCCAGCAGCCGCGGUAAUACGGAGGAUCCGAGCGUUAUCCGGGUUUAUUGGGUUUAAAGGGAGCGUAGGUGGAUUGUUAAGUCAGUUGUGAAAGUUUGCGGCUCAACCGUAAAAUUGCAGUUGAAACUGGCAGUCUUGAGUACAGUAGAGGUGGGCGGAAUUCGUGGUGUAGCGGUGAAAUGCUUAGAUAUCACGAAGAACUCCGAUUGCGAAGGCAGCUCACUGGACUGCAACUGACACUGAGGCUCGAAAGUGUGGGUAUCAAACAGGAUUAGAUACCCUUGUAGUC
rnacentral:rRNA from 1 species